GAUACAGGGUGGAACUUCCUUCCAUCCAGAGGAUCUCCCAGCUCAGGCUCAUCCUGGAGCCAGCUCUGCAGAGGGAACAUGGGGGGAGGCGACUCACACCAUGACCUGUGUGGAGGUGGCCAUGGUCGGGUGAACCAAUGAACCAAGACUCCUGAGUGUGUUAAGUCCAAAGAGCAGGACUCCGUGAAGGAAAGAGGGAAGAGCUGCAGCGGGGAGGCUGAACAGGGCGGCUGUCUGCCCACACCCCUGCUAUCAGCCUGUGAGCUCAGGGACUGACUCUGCUUCUGAGUACAUAAAACCUCCAGUCCCAAGUGGCUACCUGGUCCACAGGCACACCCACCUUCCCCCUCAGUGGGAUUUUCUGUGGGGCCUGCAGCAGGGACAGUCUCAGGUGUGGGGAGAGCCACUGCCUUGAAAUCCAGCUAGCAUCUUGACCCAGCCCGUUUUAUAGGACUUGUCACCUCAGGGAAGGUGAUGGAGCAAAUGCAUUUUCUCUGCCUCCAGGAUUUUAACAACGGCUUGAAGAAACAAACUUACCAUGAAAAUGCAGGGCAGUCCAGC
rnacentral:misc_RNA from 1 species